rnacentral:piRNA from 1 species
UCCUGAGUAAGAAUAUUAAAAUGUAGCCUUC